AGAGUUUGAUCAUGGCUCAGAUUGAACGCUGGCGGCAGGCCUAACACAUGCAAGUCGAACGGUAACAGGAAGCAGCUUGCUGCUUUGCUGACGAGUGGCGGACGGGUGAGUAAUGUCUGGGAAACUGCCCGAUGGAGGGGGAUAACUACUGGAAACGGUAGCUAAUACCGCAUAACGUCGCAAGACCAAAGAGGGGGGACCUUAGGGCCUCUUGCCAUCGGAUGUGCCCAGAUGGGAUUAGCUAGUAGGUGGGGUAACGGCUCACCUAGGCGACGAUCCCUAGCUGGUCUGAGAGGAUGACCAGCCACACUGGAACUGAGACACGGUCCAGACUCCUACGGGAGGCAGCAGUGGGGAAUAUUGCACAAUGGGCGCAAGCCUGAUGCAGCCAUGCCGCGUGUAUGAAGAAGGCCUUCGGGUUGUAAAGUACUUUCAGCGGGGAGGAAGGGAGUAAAGUUAAUACCUUUGCUCAUUGACGUUACCCGCAGAAGAAGCACCGGCUAACUCCGUGCCAGCAGCCGCGGUAAUACGGAGGGUGCAAGCGUUAAUCGGAAUUACUGGGCGUAAAGCGCACGCAGGCGGUUUGUUAAGUCAGAUGUGAGAGCCCCGGGCUCAACCUGGGAACUGCAUCUGAUACUGGCAAGCUUGAGUCUCGUAGAGGGGGGUAGAAUUCCAGGUGUAGCGGUGAAAUGCGUAGAGAUCUGGAGGAAUACCGGUAGCGAAGGCGGCCCCCUGGACGAAGACUGACGCUCAGGUGCGAAAGCGUGGGGAGCAAACAGGAUUAGAUACUCCUGCAUGCCAGACGGUUCAUUUUGUAGCGCCAGAGUCAGAACUUCCUCAAUGCGCUUCACAGGAUGAAUGUCCAGAUCGGCAAUUACGUUGUCAGGAAUCUCUUCCAGAUCGCGUUUAUUUUCGAACGGAAUUAACACUGUUUUAAUCCCGCCGCGAUGCGCUGCCAGUAGUUUUUCUUUCAAACCACCGAUCGGCAGUACCUGACCACGCAGAGUGAUCUCAC
rnacentral:rRNA from 1 species